UACGAAGGGGGCUAGCGUUGCUCGGAAUCACUGGGCGUAAAGCGCACGUAGGCGGAUUGUUAAGUCAGGGGUGAAAUCCUGGAGCUCAACUCCAGAACUGCCUUUGAUACUGGCGAUCUCGAGUCCGGGAGAGGUGAGUGGAACUGCGAGUGUAGAGGUGAAAUUCGUAGAUAUUCGCAAGAACACCAGUGGCGAAGGCGGCUCACUGGCCCGGUACUGACGCUGAGGCACGAAAGCGUGGGGAGCAAACGGG
rnacentral:rRNA from 1 species